rnacentral:rRNA from 1 species
CCAGCAGCUGCGGUAAUUCCAGCUCCAAUAGCGUAUAUUAAAGUUGUUGCAGUUAAAAAGCUCGUAGUUGGAUUUCUGGCAGGAGCGUCCGGUCUCACACUCAGUGCGGGAACUUGGAUGUCUCUGGCCAUCUUUGGGGAUAUCCUGUUUGGCAUUAAGUUGUCGGGCAGGGGAUACCCAUCGUUUACUGUGAAAAAAUUAGAGUGUUUCAAACAGGCGUUCGCCGUGAAUACAUUAGCAUGGAAUAAUAAGAUAGGACUUCGGUUCUAUUUUGUUGGUUUCUAGAACUGAAGUAAUGAUUAAUAGGGACAGUCGGGGGCAUUCGUACUUAACUGUCAGAGGUGAAAUUCUUGGAUUUGUUAAAGACGAACUACUGCGAAAGCAUUUGCCAAGGAUGUUUUCAUUGAUCAAGAACGAAAGU